rnacentral:misc_RNA from 1 species
GCAAACUUGGUCAUUUAGAGGAAGUAAAAGUCGUAACAAGGUUUCCGUAGGUGAACCUGCGGAAGGAUCAUUACUGAGGUUGGUCGGCGCUUGACGCCGGUUACCCGUCCUUGUGUCAUUUGAUACUGGGCCACUCAAACCGUCUUCGGACGGCGAGUGGUUCUUUUACCAAACUUCGGCGGAAGUGUGGUCGUUCCUCACGGGAUGACGACCGCCGCCGGUCAUAUUUGCAACUCUUGCAGAAUCUAUGAAGUUUGAACUUUUUUGUAAAUAAAAGCAAAACUUUCAACAACGGAUCUCUUGGCUCUGGCAUCGAUGAAGAACGCAGC